ensembl:lncRNA
CAGAAUCUCGGGAGGCAGCUUCAGUGAGACAGCUCAUUUUAGUAGGGGGACAAAGGCUAUUUAUUAAACCCUUGUAGGAUGAGUAGAGGCUUUAGGGUGAAUGUGCAUCAUUGGCCAGGGCCAGGGUGCUUCGGAUGCCUCAUUUGCAUAGGGAGGCCCUCCAGGUACUGCAGCACAUGACUUUAGACUGGGAGAGGAUGUUUAACCUGACUAUCCAGCUUUGUGACCUUCUCUGGUGGGCAAAGGCCGGUGCGAACUGCUACUGGUUCUAGGACACACAGGCCAGAGGCAGGGGCGUAGCAAUCCUACUCCUGCUGAUCUCAGGACAGGAUUUCUGGAGUUUGUACACGACUCCACCCCACUCGUGCUGCAGGCCCGCUCCCCUGAGUCCCACAGUUCCCAGCCCCACGUGGACCGCUGUGCCUGAACACCUUCAAGAAAUUCUCAAUUCUCUGAAAACAGUGGAGCAUAUUUCUGAUGUUGUUGGGUCACAUGUUCCAUGGCCAUGGCAAAGACAGGGCUAGAUGACCAUGCCUUGCAAGAAGAGUGGAAAAGCUAUGGAAAACCUAAAAGACAAGAAAUCUAGAGCUGAACUGUUCUGUCAACGGACUGAAAAUGAAUUGCAGAGACUCAAAGGAAGAUCUACCAUGAAAAAAAAUCUACCUGAAGAAUGAAAUUAUUACUGACUCUGGAAGGAAGUGAACAAAGACCAAGGGUGGUGGGAUGUUGUCAGUAUACACACUACGGGAAUUCCACAGGAAGAAACGAUGGAAAAGAAACAGGAGAAAGAGGAAAAACAGAGGAAGAAAUGCCACAUUGAGGCAAAAAUCCUCAACAGAAUAUUUGAAAAAAUUCUAGAGAACAUUGAAAAUCAUGAUUAAGUUGGUGUUGUAAUCCAGGGAUUCAAAGAUAUUCAACAUAAAAAUUAACAAACAUGAAACAGCAUGUAAAUAGAAUCAAGUGUAAGAUCACAGAUCAUCUCAAUGCAUGAAAAAACAUUAGAAGGAGAAGGAGCAGAAAGGAGUGGGCAGAGAGAAGACAACAGUCAAAUAAUAAUGAGAAGCACAAACAUAUGUGCCCGAGAUCAACAAGCUUCAAAGUAGGUGAAUUCUAAGAAGUUCACCCCAAAACACAUUAUCCUCACACUUUUCAAAACCCCAGAGACUGUCAAAAACAGGAAGUAGGCAGCUUGUUUCAUAAAGGGGAUAGAAACAAAAUCAUCAGAGAUUUCUGUUCAACUCUGGAAGUCAGAAAGCCCCUGCUGUAAAAAUACUAUUAAGGGCUGAUGAGACAGUUCAGUGGGUAGCAGGGCUUGCUUUCCAAGCCUGAUGACCUAAGUUUGAUUCCCAGAAUCCACAUGGUGGAAGGAAAGAACACACUCCCACAGGUUUGACCUCUGCGUGCUUGCCACAGAGACUCGUUCACACACAUACACACAUACACACACACACGCGCGCGUGCGCACACACACACACACACACACACACGCACACACGAAACAAACUGCAGACCAAUAUCUUUGUUGACAUUGAUGUAAAUAUCCUCAACAAAUUCAUGGCAGGAUGAAUUAAAUAGUAUGUUAAAGGAUUGUGUACUAUGAUCAAGCGGGACUUAUUUCUGAACUACAAGGAUUUGGUUCAAUAUUUAAAACUUUGUCAAUAAUCACCUCAACUAAUGCCAAAAAAAAUACAUGUGACAAAAUUCAAUGUCUUUUGUGGUUUAAGAAAACACCUCAAAAAUUAGGAAUAAAAUCAAAUUACCCAACAGAGUAAAACCAUAUUUGAAAAACCAACAGCAACAAUGUGGAAAACUGAGCACUUUUCCUCGAAUCCUGUGGCAGAGCUUGAGG